CAAUUCCAAAUUCCCAAUUCCCAUUCCCACAGAGAGAGAGAGAGAGAGAGAGAGAGAGAGAGAGAGAGAGAGAGAGAGAGAGAGAUGGAAGCUCCAGCUCCACAAGCCAUAGAGGUUUCCAGCAACAACUUUGGGGGUGAAGAAGAUGAACGAGAUAAAGCCAUCAAUGAGUGCUGUUCUUGCUUUUACAACUGCUCGGAAGGCUGCUUUGAUUUCCUGUGCUGCUUCGAACUCUGCAAUUGUUAGAUGCCAAAAUAUUUCGAUUUGCUGCAAAUACAAUAUAGGGGAAACAGGAGAGGAAUCUCUUUUGCUUUUACCUUUUACCUUUUGUUGUAUAAUUUAAUUUGGUAAUCCACAAAAAUAAGCUGUUUUUUUACUGUUCUACUCUCAGCACAUAAUUUGAUAAUUCUCUUCCUUUUCCCUUCCCUUUCGGCUUGCUUGGAGCGA